UGAAGAUGUGAAAGAAGGUCAUCAAAGCUCCCAGAUGGUGAUCUAGAUUUGGAAGACUUUUUUACAUUAGGCCGAUGGUAAUGUUUUUGCCCAUGACUACGUUGUUGUCGUAAGGUAGUAUUAAAUAAACUCAUUACAUUAACAUCACUGCAGGCAGGACUUGAAAAAUUUCCUACUCCUUUAAUAUUGUCAUUGCAACCAUAUGGCAUUGCCGUCCCUAACUCCCUUAUCCAGAAAUUUUCUCUAUCUUUGCGGAAAGGAGUACUUAGUACAGGGCUAUUUGUGUGGUGAUAAAUUUUCUCAAUGAUGCGUACUUUCAUAGAUAAAGAAGGAUCAUGGUCCGGUUGAUUAAAAUGGUUAUAAAGAACCCUAAAUUGAGGAUCUUUAUUAUCAGACCGGUGUUGAUUCAUUCUUUUACGCAAAGUUUGACGAGUUUCACCAACAUAAAGAAGUCCACACAAAGUACAUUCGAUUCCGUACACGACAUUGUCCGAGGAACAGUCCAGAGGCUCGAAAGAUUUAGUAUAAUAUGUUUUAGAUGUUAAAUUACUAGUAAAAUCAGGAGUCGUGAUUAACAUAUCACAAGUGUUACACGUGCUCCCUUUUCCUUGUUU
rnacentral:lncRNA from 1 species